rnacentral:rRNA from 1 species
GUGCCAGCCGCCGCGGUAAUACGUAGGUGGCGAGCGUUGUCCGGAAUUACUGGGUGUAAAGGGCGUGUAGGCGGGGAUGUAAGUCAGAUGUGAAAUACCGAAGCUUAACUUCGGAGCUGCAUCUGAAACUGCGUCUCUUGAGUGUCGGAGAGGAAAGCGGAAUUCCCAGUGUAGCGGUGAAAUGCGUAGAUAUUGGGAGGAACACCAGUGGCGAAGGCGGCUUUCUGGACGAUAACUGACGCUGAGGCGCGAAAGCGUGGGGAGCAAACAGGAUUAGAAACCCGUGUAGUCC